UACGUAGGGUGCAAGCGUUAAUCGGAAUUACUGGGCGUAAAGCGUGCGCAGGCGGUUAUGUAAGACAGGUGUGAAAUCCCCGGGCUUAACCUGGGAACUGCAUUGGUGACUGGCAGGCUUUGAGUGUGGCAGAGGGAGGUAGAAUUCCACGUGUAGCAGUGAAAUGCGUAGAGAUGUGGAGGAAUACCGAUGGCGAAGGC
rnacentral:rRNA from 1 species